CCUACGGGUGGCAGCAGUGGGGAAUAUUGCGCAAUGGGGGCAACCCUGAUGCAGCGACGCCGCGUGAAUGAAGAAGGAAUUCGGUAUGUAAAGCUCUAUCAGCAGGGAAGAAGAUAACGAUACCUGAGUAAGAAGCCCCGGCUAACUACGUGCCAGCAGCCGCGGUAAUACGUAGGGGGCACGCGUUAGCCGGAUUUACUGGGUGGAAAGGGAGCGUAGACGGCAGUGCAAGUCUGGAGUGAAAGGCGCGGGCUCAACCCCCGGAUUGCGCUGGAAACUGUACGGCUGGAGUGCAGGAGAGGUAAGUGGAAUUCCUAGUGUAGCGGUGAAAUGCGUAGAUAUGAGGAGGAACACCAGUGGCGAAGGCGGCUUAUUGGACUUUAACUGACGGUGAGGUGCGAAAGCGUGGGGAGCAAACAGGAUUAGAUACCCCAGUAGUC
rnacentral:rRNA from 1 species